rnacentral:lncRNA from 1 species
GUUUAUGUACCUCCCCCCAAAUUCAUAUGUUGAAAUCCUACCCCUCAAUGUGAUCCUAUUAGAACAUGGUGCCUUUGGGAGGUAAUUAGGAUUAGAUGAUGUCAUAAAGGUGUGAAGCAUUUGUGAAUGGGAUUAGUGUCCUUAUAAGAGUUCUGGUAAAGGUUACUUCCCUCUCUGCUCCCUGCCAUGUGAGGACACAGAGAAGUUAGCAGUCUGCAGCCCAGAAGAGGACACUCACCAGAACCCAACCACGCUGGCACCCUGAUCUCAGACUUCCAGCCUCCGGAAUCGUUUCUGACCCUUGAGCCUAAAAGACUACGGCAUACUACAGGGCAUAUGCCAAGAUGAGAGCAAAAUGGAAAACAGAAAGCAGAUGAGGUGGAUGCAGUUUCAAAUGUGGCUGUGCGCUUCUGGGUAAACAAAGUGAAAAGGGAAAUUCGGUCAACUACAUUGUUCUCAUUAAGCAUGAAGUGAGAAUGCUCAAGUUCCUUAGGACCAGCAAAGCUUUUUUCUAGCACUUAUUUCUCAAAGCACAAUAGGCAUUAUACAAGGAACUACUGGGAGAUAUGGAGGAUGCUGUCUUCAUUAACUGACACUUUGCAGCGAAUUCAAUAAUGGGAUGUAUAAGGCUGCUGUUCAGAGCAUCUGUUAUGAACACUGAGGGACUCAUGCUUCCAUGGUUGGUCAACUUGAUUCUGUGCAGUUGGAAGAAAGGCAAUGUGGUCUGAGUAUGCCAGCAUCCAGAGGCUCUCUGCAAGUGUCAGUGUUCCAGGAACUGGUCCCCAAACAUUUUAGCCACAACUGACUCUCAGCCCAUUUCUGCCCUUUCCCUCUCAGUGCAAGCUCAUUUGUACCAACUUCUGAAGGUUCCACUCUCCCGUCCCGAGGAGGGAAAUACAAGAGAAUUGAAACCUCCUGCCCUUCAUCCCUGAGAAGGGUUGCACAGAGGUGCCUGCAGAUGUCAAGAACUGUCCUCCACAGCAUCCCUGUUCUUUACCUCCUGUCUCCAUGAUUAAUUCAAGCUGUUGGGAUCUCACAUUACCAUCAGGCUGUCACUGCACUGAGGGUCCCAAAUGGCUCCAGCCCAAGCAACAAAUUAAUCCAGGUAACCUAUCCUUACAAAGCCAAACAGAAACAAAAACAAAACCCGCCACUGUGCCCCCAAACCUGCAUUGGAGUGGUGAUGCUUUGAUAAGGUUUAAAUAAGACCUAGUAUUUGAUAGCACAACAGGGUGACUAUAAUCAAAAUGACUUAUUUGUUUAUUUAAUUUUUUUGAGACAGAGUCUUGCUCUGUCACCAAGACUGGAGUCCAGUGGCACGAUCUCAGCUCACUGCAACCUCCACCUCCCGGGUUCAAGCGACUCUUCUGCCUCAGCCUCCCAAGUAGCUGCGAUUACAGGCAUGUGCCACCAGGCCCAGCUAAUUUGUAUUUUUAGUAGAGAUGGGGUUUCACCAUGCUGGUCAGGCUGGUCUCGAACUGACCUCAGGUGAGCCUGCCUCAGCCUCCCAGAGUGCUAGGAUUAUAGGCAUGACAAAAUAAUUUAAUUGUACAGUUUUAAUUUUAUAUUUUAAAAUAACUGAAGGAGUAUAAUUGGAUUGUUUGUAACACAAAUGAUAAAUGCUUGAUGGGAUGGAUACCCCCAUUUUCCACGAUGUGAUUAUUAUGCAUUGCAUGCCUGUAUCAAACUGUAUCAAAAUAUAUCAUGUACCCCACAAAUAUAUGCAACUAUUAUGUAUCAAAAACAUUAAAAUAUAACAAUUAAAUUAUUUUUUUUAGAUGGAAUCUCACUCUGUUGCCCAGGCUGGAGAGCAGUGGCAUGAUCUUGGCUUACUGUAGCCUCCGCCUCCUGGGUUCAAGCAAUUCUCCUGCCUUAGGUUCCCAGGUAGCUAGGAUUACAGGCACACACCACACCUGGAUAAUUUUCUUGUAUUUUUAGUGGAGACAGCAUUUCACCAUGUUGGCCAGGCUGGUCUCUAACUCCUGACCUCAAGUGAUCCACACACCUCAGCCUCCCCAAGUGCUGGGAUUACAGGAAUAAGCCAUUGCACCUGGCCAAAAAGUUUUAAACAUUUUUCUAAAGGUACAUUCCAACUGUGUGCCUCACUCAAGUGCCACAGAUGAAACCAGGUUGGUAGCAAAACAUGAUAACUGGUGACGGUAGGGAAGACAGGGUUUGGCUUUGUUUGUUUCUUCUUGUUUUGUUUCUUUCUUUUGCCUGUCUUAGGAACUGUGCCAAGGGUUUUACAUGCAUUAUUCCAUUUCAUCUACACAGUGAUCUAAGUAACUGGAUAGUAACACCACCAUUUUUUAAGAGAGGAAGGAGGAGUAAUGCACCUCCCCCGAGGUUACACCAUUAGAAAGAGACAGAACCCAUGGAUUUGAAUGCAUAUGUUGGAAACAAAUGCUCAGUGCCGCAAAGACACUAGCACUGAGACAAAGGACAAAGCAUCUCUCAGCAAGGCAAAUUUACUUCUGUAGAAGGGUGCAUCUUGCAUAUGGAGCAAUGGUGAGAGCACACAGAACAAAGGAAAGCAGGGGUUUUUAUUUUCUCUAAUGCAGCUUCUGCCUCUGUGUCUUUCCCCUAUUGGCUAGGGUUGGACCGCACAGUCUAAACUAGUCCUGAUUGGCUUGACAUUUAAACUUUCUUAGAUAAGGCAGGCACAUAGUGAGGUGAGAAGAGAGAGAUGGGGGGUCAUUUAUGGGGGGACUAGGAAGGUAACCUAUUCCCGAAUAAGGAAAGGAAUGUGGACUGGGGUUGUAGCAAGUUCAGGCAUGCCUAGGCAUAUUCAGACAAGCUGGGGUGCAGCAAAGGCAAGGGGGUAUUUGGAAUUAUAGUAUAGAGAACAGGGAAACUGGAUAAGCUGUUAGAAGAGGGAAACUAACUGUAUCUAACAAUGGCAAGAUGGGCCCCCAAGCCCAAGCUCUGGCCUCUGCCUCAGACCUUGGAAAGUGACCAUGAUGGAACCACAAGCAGGCAGAAGAACACUCUGCCCCUCAAGAUCAUCCAAUCAAAAAUUCUCUCCUCCCCAGCAGGGUUAAAAGUGAAACACACCAUUAAAAUGUGACCCUUGGGAAGGGUCAACCUUUAGUUGCCUACAGAGUAAGAAUUCGUUGGUUGGAUAAUAAUGACUUUUAAGGCAGUAUUCCUGAAAAUAUGGCCUCAGGACCACUGACAUCAGAAUCACCUAGGAGGAGGAUGAGGCUGUCAAAUUUGAAUAUAUCACAGCCCCAGUCCCAGAUUUGCUUUCUCAGCAUUGCUGUCUCAAGAGAAUGAGGUUCUGCGGAGAGAACUUACAUUAACAAGCACUUGCAGAGAAUCUGUUCUACAGCAUCUACAGCAGGUAUAUGCCAGAUGCUGAAUCACAUCUAUCCUCUCUAUGAUGUUUCAUUGAAUAGCACAAUAGACAGGGAGAGGCAGGUGAUGGGGAAAGAGGAAGGUUGGGAAAAGUUGAUGGAGUGGAAAAAAAGCACAAGUCAGACAGAUCUAGGGAUUCAAAUCCCAACAUAGCCACUUGGACAAGUGACAACCUCCGUGAGUAUAAAUUUCCCAUGGGGUUGACUUAAAUCAUAAAUGAGAACUAUGGUCCACGCUCAUUCUCAUAGUCAACUGCAGGAUUCCAUUCAAAGUACAAUGAAAAGGGCUUGUGACCAGUGCACACAAGGGUUGUAUUUCACCAACAACAAACCUCUGGGAGGAAAAGUAUGGGCCAAUCAGGGAUAUUCAAAAGAAACUACUUCCUGGCCAGGCGCAGUGACUCACUCCUAUAAUCCCAGCACUUUGGGAGGCCAAGAUGGGUGGAUUGCCUGAGGUCAGGAGUUUGAGACCAGCUUGGCCAACAUGGUGAAACCCCGUCUCUACUAAAAACACAAAAAUUAGCCAGGCGUGGUGGUGAGCACCUGUGAUCCCAGCUACUCAGGAGGCUAAGGCAGGAGAAUCGCUUGAACUUGGAAGACAGAAGCUGCAGUGAGCCAAGAUUGUGCCACUGCACUCCAGCCUGGGUGACAGAGGGAGACUCCAUCAGAAGGAAAGAAAAGGAGAGGAGAGAAGAGGAAAGGAGAGGAGGGGAGAGGAGAGAAGAGAUGAAACUACUUCCUGAUGGAGUUUUUCCCCCAAAACAUCAUCUGAAUGUACUAACUCAAUGAAUAUCCACCCUCAAUGCUUACUUGGAACAUGGCACAUACUCAACAUGGGAGGGAGAACUUAGAAGUAUUUGCUGCCCUCAAUGUGUUUUCAAUCUAGUUAGAGAGAAAACUACAGACUCCUAGGAAAAUUAAGAUACACCACAAAAAUCAAAGUCAAAGGCAACAUGGCAUGGAAAGUCAAAAGGCAGAAUGGCUCACGCCUGUAAUUCCAACACUUUGGGAGGCUGAGGUGGGUAGAUCACCUGAGGUCAGGAGUUCAAGAGCAUCCUGGCCAACAUGGUGAAACCCCCUCUCUACUAAAAAUACAAAAAAAAAAUUAGCUGGGCGUGGUGGCAGGUGCCGGUAAUCCCAGCUACUCAGGAGGCCGAGACAGGAGAAUCACUUGAACCUGGGAGGCAAAGGUUGCAGGAAGCCAAGAUCAUGCCAUUGCACUCCAACCUGGGCAACAAGAGUGAAACUCCAUCUCAAAAAAAAAAGAGAGAGAGAGAGAGAGAAUUAGCCCCUAGGAGUCAAUAAAUGUAAGCUGACUUGGAGAGAACAGAAUUGAGCACAUCACUAAGAAAGAGUCAUGGGAGUGGAAGAAACAGAUAGAUCGAUUAUAAGGAGCUGAGCUUUGCCUUGAGUUCUCAAAAUGUGUAAGACUUGUCUAGCAAGAAAAGAGAGAGGUAUUCCAGGGAGAGUUGCAGUAAGUCAUUGAUAGCCCCACUAUGGUCUCAAUUCCCCCAGGCUGCUGAGCUUCUGGAAGAUGAAGAACUGACCCAUCGGAAAAUAUACAGAUUGGAACAAGCAUAGCUUUAUUCUUCCCCUUCUCGGGAUGGACCCCAACACCUAACCAAGGCUUUCCCUCUUACACUAAGCUUUGAGGACAGCCAUGGCCUCAUAAGAAUCACAAUCCAUUCUACAAGUCCAGCAACAGUUCAUCAAGGAGAGACUGGUGGCCACUGGCCAAGAUCUCUGUAUGCUCCUCAAGGGUUUCAAUAGUUGGAUUCCAUUUACCUCUCUGGAUUCCAGCUGCCUCACCUUAUAAAAUCACAGCUGGUACCAAUCCUCCAGGCUCAGCUCACAGCAAAAGGGCAAAAGAUAUAUCUAGGUCUAAAUAGACCAAAAGCAAAAAAAAGUCUCCAGUAUCCACUGUUAUGGACUGAAUGUUUGUGUGCCCUCAAAAUUCAUAUGUUGAAACCCUAACCCCCAAUGGUUCUGUAUUUGAAGAUGGGGUCUGUGAGAAGAUGACAAAGAUCAAAUGAAGUCAUAAGGAUGGGGCCCUAAUCUCACAGGGUGGGUCCCCUUAUCAGAAGAGGAAGAAACACCAGAGUGCUCUCUCUCUUUCCACCAUGUGAGGACACAGCAAGAAGGUGGCUGUCUGCAAGCCAGGAAGGGAGCCCUCUCCAAAACUGUCCCUGAUGGACUUGGUCUGGUAUGUCUACCCUCCAGAAUUGUGAGAAAAUAAAUUCCUGUUGUUUAAGCCACCCAGUCUGUGUUAUUUUGUUAGGCCAACCCAAGCAGACUAAUAUGCCCACUAUUAAAUGAAAUCAGCAAGGUGCAG